rnacentral:rRNA from 1 species
UUGAUGUAGUAUUUCGGUCAAGUUUACCUACGUCUGUAGGCAUACGUAAUUGAAGCCUUAACAGUUCGUUUUGAGAACUAUCAGGAACGGGAAUUAAGCUAUCUGUAAACUCGACUCGAAGGGGUAUUUUGUAAAACCAUGCCUUCGGGCUCUUGUGAUUCUAUAACUAAGAAUUGCAUGCUGCGCGGCGAUGUUCAUCAAAUUUCUGCCUACACUUUCGAGGUAGAGUAUGGCUACCAUGGAUCAACGGGAACGGGGAAUAGGUUCGACUCCGGAGAGGGAGCCUGAGAAACGGCUACACAUCAAGGAAGGCCGCCAGGCGCGCAAAUUACCCAAUCCGACACGGGGAGGUAGUGACAAUAAAUCUGAUACAGGGCUUUUUUGGGUCUGUAAUUGGAAUGAGUACAAUUUAAAUCCUUUAACGAGGAACAAUUGGAGGGCAAGUCUGGUGCCAGCAGCCGCGGUAAUUCCAGCUUCAAUAGCGUAUAUUAAAGUUGUUGCAGUUAAAAAGCUUGUAGUUGAACCUUGGGCCUGGCUGGCCGGUCCGCCUCACCGCGUGUACUUGUCCGGCCGGGCCUUUCCUUCUGGGGAACCUCAUGCCCUUCACUGGGCGUGUUGGGGAAUCAGGACUUUUACUUUGAAAAAAUUAGAGUGUUCAAAGCAGGCCUUUGCUCGAAUACAUUAGCAUGGAAUAAUAGAAUAGGACGUGUGGUUCUAUUUUGUUGGUUUCUAGGACCGCCGUAAUGAUUAAUAGGGAUAGUCGGGGGCAUCAGUAUUCAAUCGUCAGAGGUGAAAUUCUUGGAUUGAUUGAAGACUAACUACUGCGAAAGCAUUUGCCAAGGAUGUUUUCAUUAAUCAGUGAACGAAAGUUAGGGGAUCGAAGACGAUCAGAUACCGUCGUAGUCUUAACCAUAAACUAUGCCGACUAGGGAUCGGACGGUGUUAGUAUUUUGACCCGUUCGGCACCUUACGAGAAAUCAAAGUUUUUGGG